CAAGCAAGACUACCCGCUGAACUUAAGCAUAU
rnacentral:rRNA from 1 species